CCCUAUCAAGAAGUUUACUCAAACUUUUACUGCAGUAAAAAUAUACAGAACUUACAUAAACUAUGGACUAUUUUUAGUCGAAUAUCUAAUCUUUUAAACUUUUAAUUUUAUGAUUCUAUAUUUUCAAUUUGUUUAACUUAAACCAGUAAUGAUACGUUGACUUUAAAAUGUUAAUUAAUCGUUAACCUUAAUGAAUCUAUAAUUGCGAGCAUUAAACAAAGUAUAUUAACUAAAGUUGUAAAAAUAAACUGCGCAUUAAAGUCAAAAUGUCGUAACUGAUUUAAAUCAAACAAAUUGAAGAGCUCGGUGAUAAAAUUAAAAUUUUGAAAGAUUGGAUAGUUAGACUCAAAAUAGUCUAUAAUUCAACACUAUCUAUACACCUAUAGCAUAGAGGUGUAAGAUUUACAUCCUAAUCCUUCAUAGGCUAGGAUUUACUUAUUAAUUAAUCUUAUCAACAAUUUUAAUAAAAAACUUGAAAAAAUAUUCCGAACACCGAAC
rnacentral:lncRNA from 1 species